rnacentral:rRNA from 1 species
GACGAACGCUGGCGGCAUGACUAACACAUGCAAGUCGAGCGAGCAGAUCCCUUCGGGGUGAAGCUAGCGGCGGACGGGUGAGUAACACGUGGGCAACCUGCCUCAUAGAGGGGAAUAGCCUUCCGAAAGGAAGAUUAAUACCGCAUAAGAUUGUAGCUUCGCAUGAAGCCGCAAUUAAAGGAGUAAUCCGCUUUGAGAUGGACCCGCGGCGCAUUAGCUAGUUGGAGAGGUAACGGCUCACCAAGGCAACGAUGCGUAGCCGACCUGAGAGGGUGAUCGGCCACAUUGGAACUGAGACACGGCCCAGACUCCUACGGGAGGCAGCAGUGGGGAAUAUUGCACAAUGGGCGAAAGCCUGAUGCAGCAACGCCGCGUGAGUGAUGAAGGUCUUCGGAUUGUAAAGCUCUGUCUUUUGGGACGAUAAUGACGGUACCAAAGGAGGAAGCCACGGCUAACUACGUGCCAGCCGCCGCAGUAA